rnacentral:rRNA from 1 species
AUGGAGGGGCCGCCAGAUUGGACGGCCGCCCGGGACCGGGAGGUUUUCAUCAACUACUUCGAGUCCAAGUCAUGGCCGUCGUCGUCGAGCCCCUUGGUACCCGUCGACGACCCCGCGACCUUGUUCGCCAACGCCGGGAUGAACCAGUUCAAGCCGGUAUUCCUCGGCACCGCCGCCCCCGAUUCGCAGCUUGGCAGCCUGCGCGGCGCCUGCAACAGCCAGAAGCGCAUCCGCGCCGAAGCACAACGACCUCGACGACGUGGGGAAGGAGGAGGCCAUCGGGUAUGCGUGGGAGCACCUGUCGGAUUCUUGCCUUCGCUCCCCCUUUUGAUGCUAGUUUCUACCACACUGCUGUACCUCUGCAGCAGAUUAUGGAUCGGUAAAGUUUAA